rnacentral:rRNA from 1 species
GAUGAACGCUGGCGGCGUGCCUAAUACAUGCAAGUCGAGCGAACGGACGAGAAGCUUGCUUCUCUGAUGUUAGCGGCGGACGGGUGAGUAACACGUGGAUAACCUACCUAUAAGACUGGGAUAACUUCGGGAAACCGUAGCUAAUACCGGAUAAUAUUUUGAACCGCAUGGUUCAAAAGUGAAAGACGGUCUUGCUGUCACUUAUAGAUGGAUCCGCGCUGCAUUAGCUAGUUGGUAAGGUAACGGCUUACCAAGGCAACGAUGCAUAGCCGACCUGAGAGGGUGAUCGGCCACACUGGGACUGAGACACGGUCCAGACUCCUACGGGAGGCAGCAGUAGGGAAUCUUCCGCAAUGGGCGAAAGCCUGACGGAGCAACGCCGCGUGAGUGAUGAAGGUCUUCGGAUCGUAAAACUCUGUUAUUAGGGAAGAACAUAUGUGUAAGUAACUGUGCACAUCUUGACGGUACCAAAUCAGAAAGCCACGGCUAACUACGUG